UACAAGGCAGCAGUGGGGAAUAUUGCACAAUGGGCGAAAGCCUGAUGCAGCUAUGCCGCGUGUAUGAAGAAGGCCUUAGGGUUGUAAAGUACUUUCAUCGGGGAGGAAAAAACAAAACUAAUAAUUUUAUUUCUUGACGUUACCCGAAAAAGAAGCACCGGCUAACUCCGUGCCAGCAGCCGCGGUAAUACGGAGGGUGCUAGCGUUAAUCAGAAUUACUGGGCGUAAAGAGCACGUAGGUGGUUUUUUUAAGUCAGAUGUGAAAUCCCUGGGCUUAACCUGGAACUGCAUUUUGAAACUGAAAUACUAGAGUAUCGUAGAGGGAGGUAGAAUUCUAGGUGUAGCGGUGAAAUGCGUAGAUAUCUGGAGGAAUACCUGUGGCGAAAGCGGCCUCCUAAACGAAUACUGACACUGAGGUGCGAAAGCGUGGGGAGCAAACAGGGAUUAGAUACC
rnacentral:rRNA from 1 species